UUUUACAAAUUAUCUUGCAAGCGUAACGGCUCAAGCAGUACUGGAAAAAAUAUCCAGACAGAUUUCGAGACACGAUCAGCCCUUUUGGAGCUUCUGUUGGUCCAUUGUUGGACGUUGUUGGAUUGUAAUUGUUGCUGAUUGUCGCAUUGCACUUGACACAUGUGGUUACAAGGUCAAGAUGCAGCUUUACUCUACGGACUCUCUGGAGAGGAUGUGGGGUGCCAAGUGAGCUGUCCUUAAUCCAAAUCUUAUCUUAAUUCCAAAAGUUGAUUGGCAUCCAAGUACUGUUUGAAACCAAGGCCUUCAAUGGUCAAGAACACUCUAAACAUCAUUUUGCCUCAUUAGCGAUGGGACCACAUAAAAGUAUUUACAGGUAAAAGGGCUCGCAAUUAAUUCUAGACAAGUUAAGGUACCAAAUGUCAGCGGGAAAAAAUCAAUCUAGUUUUGCUUACCCAGGGAAGGAAAGGCAAGCAAGCUAAAGAGAUAGAUAAGAAAUGAUAUUUCUAUUGCUAAGUCUUUCUUUUUACUCUUUUUAGUUCAAUGCCCUCAUCCGAGGACCGUGUUUUCGCCAAGUGUUGCGUUUUAUAGCCUCAUGUACUAGUAAUCGGACAAUGUUGGUGGUACCGGUGGAAGGUAUUUGUUGGGUUUGUUGCCAGACAGACCGAUAGACAAGCAGACCGACUGGCGAGCGGUACUUAUCUCGGUCCCUUAUCGAAUGGCGGAUCCCCCGACAGAGGCCAUCCCGAUCAAGCCUCGUGUUCAUAUUCGAGUAAUACCCCCAGAUUAAGUGUGAAUCAUGGCAUGUCACCCUUAAAGAGUGGCCAUUUCUCUCGGCACCCGAAAAGUAGGAGAUAUAUCCCGAAAAUACCCUCAUUUGACACCUCACUCUGUCCCGUCUCUAUCUGGGUGUCCUCAUUCAUCCAUCCACCCACCCACCCAACACCAUCUCCACUAACUCCACCUAGGAAUGACUUUCAUGAGGAGAGAGCCAGAGGUGGUGUGAGGGGACACUCGUUUUUUGAGGGGGAGGUUUUAAAUCAGAUGGUGGCUUGUUCCACCUUUGUGGAGCACACUGAUUUACGAGCGAUCAUUUGUUACCCUCGCUCGAGGCUCGAGUCUCAAGUCUCGAGUCCCCAUCCGUCCAUCCAUCCAUCCAUCCAUUCGUCGGUUCAUCGGUUCUUCUCGCCUUCCAAGGUGAAGUGGUCCGUUCUCACUCUAAUUUCUGUUUGGAACACACGAUGGAAUGAAGAAUGAAGCCAUUACAGAUCUUCUCGGGUGCAUGCAUUUUCUACUUGGGACUCUUUGUAUAAGUACGAUGUGAGUGCGUGUCAGUCUGUUGGGGGGAUCUCUUUGAUUGUGCUCUCAAUUUGGAUAUCAUUUCCUCUGAUCAUCAAGUUUGGAUUUCUUGGCAAGCACACCAAAGCAACCUGGGAAUAAGCUGAUUCAUCAAAUACCCAUCGGUAGAACGAGACCACGAUGACGACUACUACAACACCGACGACCAUGGCGAAGGCUAUGUCGAGGACGAGAGAGGGAGCUUCCAGCUUCAUGAUGAUGAGUUCGCGUCCGGGAUCGAUCCUAUCAAUCUACAACUCCAACUCAUUAUUCCCGCCAACCCUAUAACAUUGUUGGUUUUUCGAGUUAGGUCACUCUCCUGGCCGUCCACCACCCACACGCCACCAUAUUUACCAGGAGUGGUUCAAUUACCAACAAUUUACGUUUCCAAAAAGCAUGUCAUAGAAACAAUGAAUUGGAUUGUAGCCUGAUUUUUCCCAUUUGGUUGCAAAUACAAUGAGAUGAACCUUGA